UUUUGGAAGGAAUCUAUUGACAAAAGUUUGCGACCUCGAUGUUGGAUUAGGAUACUUUUUUAAUGAAGAUACUAAAAUGAGAAGUUUGUUCAACUUUCAAAUUCCUACUUGAUCUGAGUUCAGACCCAA
rnacentral:rRNA from 1 species